UAGGGAAUAUUGCACAAUGGAGGAAACUCUGAUGCAGCGAUGCCGCGUGAGCGAUGAAGGCCUUCGGGUUGUAAAGCUCUGUUAUAGGGGAAGAUGAUGACGGUACCCUAUCAGAAAGGACCGGCUAACUUCGUGCCAGCAGCCGCGGUAAUACGAGGGGUCCAAGCGUUGUUCGGAAUUACUGGGCGUAAAGCGGGUGUCGGCGGCCUUACCAGUCAGAUGUGAAAGCCCCGGGCUUAACCUGGGAAGUGCAUCUGAUACUGUAUGGCUUGAGUCUUGAAGAGGGAAGUGGAAUUCCUGGUGUAGCGGUGAAAUGUGUAGAUAUCAGGAGGAACAUCGGUGGCGAAGGCGGCUUCCUGGUCAUAGACUGACGCUCAGACCCGAAAGCGUGGGGAGCAAACAGG
rnacentral:rRNA from 2 species